ensembl:lncRNA
AAACAUCUCUGUUUGACGUUACGGCCGAUGGAAAAGUACAACGCGGUGUUUGAAGUGUGUGUGGGCUGAUUUUUCCCCCACAAAUGUCAUUGUGAUUUUGGAAACUGCUCUCUGCAGGGGGUCCAAAUGACAGGAUGGGAGGAAUUAGGCAGUCCAUUUGAGGUUGAGGAGGGGAUAACCCUCUAAUCCGAAUGGGCUUUUUUGCACUAGGGAGGAAAAGCUGAAAAUCAAUAUUUCGUCUGGUUGCUGAGCAAAGUAAUCUUUCUGGGGAACAGGUGUCCUAUCGCCUGGCAAAGCCUCUUGUCCUUGCAUCACACAUCGAAUGGUGGCAGCUUUGGGAGGGGGACGCCCAUUCAUACCGAGGAUUGGAUGGCACCCUCAAAGGAGCUGACCUGAAAUCAUACUCGAGUCUGAAGAUAAGUGCCGCUGAGUGAUUUGUAAAAGGCCUAUAGGGCUGGAUUAUGGACUGGGCCUGGGCCUCCAAAACUGCUAAAGGAAGUUGAAGAGCAGUACCUUCAGUGCAUAAAGCAUGAGCGUAGCCUGGUCAGGCCUCUAGUCGUGCAUCUGCUGCUUUCCUCCUUUAUUCAUUUGUGUUAUGAACUGCCUGGAGUCACAUGAAAGCAGGACAGAACCAGGGGUCCUCGAGACUUGGAUUCGAUUCAAGACCAAUUCAUGCAUUACUCACCAUUCUGGAUUCUCAGAACAGAGGUCUUCUUACGGUCCUUAUGAAUUCAUCAGGGACCGAAUCUCCGAUUUCUAGUAGGAGCAGUCAGUGAAGUUUGGACGGGUAAAGGUCUUAUUACCUUAGAGACCAGGAUGGAUUUAAGUUUUGACAGAUAACACUUCCCACAACAUAGGUGUGGGCCUCAGCCUGUUAACUAGAGCGCAGGACCCUGGACACUCAAAACUGUCAUGUUUGGAUCAAGCAGUGGCAAACAAUCGCCAGUUUUCAAUCGGUGUCUCAAGCAGUGGAGAAGAUGGAGACUGACCUGAGGCUUGAUCCCUUCAUCUCACAUCAUGACCUGAACACCGCCCCACAGAGAGACCAAUCCUGGACGUCUGCGCUUAAAGAGGCCUUUGGUGAUGCACAGCUGAUCUAAUGGUACCGGCUCCUAGAAAUCCUGUGAUUUCUGCAACUCUCCUGGACUGACCACGUUAACAUCUGCAUGAUUGAGGUGAUGAUCUAAUGAUCUAGUACCUUCUAUUCACUGUCUGUGCAUAUGCAUAUACAGUAGCAUGCAAAACAGGC